rnacentral:rRNA from 1 species
AUUGAACGCUGGCGGCAUGCUUUACACAUGCAAGUCGAACGGUAACAGGUCUUCGGGCGCUGACGAGUGGCGAACGGGUGAGUAAUGCAUCGGAACGUGCCCAGUCGUGGGGGAUAACGCAGCGAAAGCUGUGCUAAUACCGCAUACGAUCUGCGGAUGAAAGCGGGGGACCUUCGGGCCUCGCGCGAUUGGAGCGGCCGAUGUCAGAUUAGGUAGGUGGUGGGGUAAAGGCUCACCAAGCCAACGAUCUGUAGCUGGUCUGAGAGGACGACCAGCCACACUGGGACUGAGACACGGCCCAGACUCCUACGGGAGGCAGCAGUGGGGAAUUUUGGACAAUGGGCGCAAGCCUGAUCCAGCAAUGCCGCGUGCAGGAAGAAGGCCUUCGGGUUGUAAACUGCUUUUGUACGGAGCGAAAAGGCUCCCUCUAAUACAGGGGGCUCAUGACGGUACCGUAAGAAUAAGCACCGGCUAACUACGUGCCAGCAGCCGCGGUAACAC